GCUUGAUGAGGUGGCGCAUGCCUGUAAUCCCAGCAGCAUGGGAGGCUGAGACAGGAGGAUCAUGAGUUCAAAGACCGCCUCAGCAAUGGUGAGGCGCUAAGCAACUCAGUGAGACCCUGUCUCUA
rnacentral:sRNA from 1 species